rnacentral:rRNA from 1 species
UGCAAGUCGAACGAGUUCUGAUUAUUGAAAGGUGCUUGCAUCUUGAUUUAAUUUUGAACGAGUGGCGGACGGGUGAGUAACACGUGGGUAACCUGCCCUUAAGUGGGGGAUAACAUUUGGAAACAGAUGCUAAUACCGCAUAAAUCCAAGAACCGCAUGGUUCUUGGCUGAAAGAUGGCGUAAGCUAUCGCUUUUGGAUGGACCCGCGGCGUAUUAGCUAGUUGGUGAGGUAACGGCUCACCAAGGCAAUGAUACGUAGCCGAACUGAGAGGUUGAUCGGCCACAUUGGGACUGAGACACGGCCCAAACUCCUACGGGAGGCAGCAGUAGGGAAUCUUCCACAAUGGACGCAAGUCUGAUGGAGCAACGCCGCGUGAGUGAAGAAGGCUUUCGGGUCGUAAAACUCUGUUGUUGGAGAAGAAUGGUCGGCAGAGUAACUGUUGUCGGCGUGACGGUAUCCAACCAGAAAGCCACGGCUAACUACGUGCCAGCAGCCGCGGUAAUACGUAGGUGGCAAGCGUUAUCCGGAUUUAUUGGGCGUAAAGCGAGCGCAGGCGGUUUUUUAAGUCUGAUGUGAAAGCCCUCGGCUUAACCGAGGAAGUGCAUCGGAAACUGGGAAACUUGAGUGCAGAAGAGGACAGUGGAACUCCAUGUGUAGCGGUGAAAUGCGUAGAUAUAUGGAAGAACACCAGUGGCGAAGGCGGCUGUCUGGUCUGUAACUGACGCUGAGGCUCGAAAGCAUGGGUAGCGAACAGGAUUAGAUACCCUGGUAGUCCAUGCCGUAAACGAUGAAUGCUAGGUGUUGGAGGGUUUCCGCCCUUCAGUGCCGCAGCUAACGCAUUAAGCAUUCCGCCUGGGGAGUACGACCGCAAGGUUGAAACUCAAAGGAAUUGACGGGGGCCCGCACAAGCGGUGGAGCAUGUGGUUUAAUUCGAAGCAACGCGAAGAACCUUACCAGGUCUUGACAUCUUUUGAUCACCUGAGAGAUCGGGUUUCCCCUUCGGGGGCAAAAUGACAGGUGGUGCAUGGUUGUCGUCAGCUCGUGUCGUGAGAUGUUGGGUUAAGUCCCGCAACGAGCGCAACCCUUAUGACUAGUUGCCAGCAUUUAGUUGGGCACUCUAGUAAGACUGCCGGUGACAAACCGGAGGAAGGUGGGGAUGACGUCAAAUCAUCAUGCCCCUUAUGACCUGGGCUACACACGUGCUACAAUGGAUGGUACAACGAGUUGCGAGACCGCGAGGUCAAGCUAAUCUCUUAAAGCCAUUCUCAGUUCGGACUGUAGGCUGCAACUCGCCUACACGAAGUCGGAAUCGCUAGUAAUCGCGGAUCAGCACGCCGCGGUGAAUACGUUCCCGGGCCUUGUACACACCGCCCGUCACACCAUGAGAGUUUGUAACACCCGAAGCCGGUGGCGUAACCCUUUUAGGGAGCGAGCCGUCUAA